rnacentral:rRNA from 1 species
AGGCUCAGACCUUGUAUUGAACGGUGAGGGCGGGUAAUAUUGGGGGUAACUCUGAUAUUCCCACUUUACUCGAUUAUGGAGGGAGUCCACUGUAGUAAUACAGUAUACUAUGUAAUGUGCAGGCGAGGGUAAAGACUCUGUAAGUCGACAAAGACUCUCCGGUGGAUUCUUCUUUUUAAAGCCAAUCGUAAUGGCUCAGUCGUCUAAUUACCGAAAGUGAAUAGACGUUAAUAAACCCAAAAAUAGGAACAGUCGGGGUCGUUUAUACUUCCAAGUUAGGGGUGAAAUCCUAUGAUUUUGGAAAGAUAAACUAGUGCGAAAGCAUUCGACAAGGAUGUUUUCAUUGAUCAAGAACGAAAUUGGGGGAUCGAAGACGAUCAGAUACCGUCGUAGUCUCAACCAUAAACGAUGCCGACCAGAGAUCGGGGUGACGCUUUCCGAAAAGGAAGCGCGGCUCCCCCGGCACCUUUGAGAGAAAUCAAUGAGUGUCUGGGCUUCGGGGGGGAGUAUGGUCGCAAGGCUGAAACUUAAAGGAAUUGACGGAAGGG